UGGUUCUCGCAUCGAUGAAGAACGCAGCGAAAUGCGAUAAGUAAUGUGAAUUGCAGAAUUCAGUGAAUCAUCGAAUCUUUGAACGCACAUUGCGCCCCUUGGUAUUCCGACGGGCACGCCUGUGUGAACGUCAUUUAAACACUCAAGCACCGCUUGGUGAUGGGGUUGGCUUCACCGCCUCCGCCCGCAAAUCAAAGGCGUCCUGCGGCCGAAGGCUCAGAGUAGUGAAACACGUCUCCGACCUCCGCCCGCGGGUGCAAAACAUCCAACAAAACUUGACUUCACAUCAGACGAGAUUACCCGCUGA
rnacentral:misc_RNA from 1 species